rnacentral:rRNA from 1 species
UUGAACGCUGGCGGAAUGCUUUACACAUGCAAGUCGAGCGGCAGCGCGGGGGCAACCUUGGCGGCGAGCGGCGAACGGGUGAGUAACAUAUCGGAACGUACCCAGACGUGGGGGACAACUAGUCGAAAGACUAGCUAAUACCGCAUACGUCCUGAGGGAGAAAGCGGGGGAUCGCAAGACCUCGCGCGUUUGGAGCGGCCGAUAUCUGAUUAGCUAGAUGGUGGGGUAAAGGCUCACCAUGGCGACGAUCAGUAGCGGGUCUGAGAGGAUGAUCAGCCACACUGGAACUGAGACACGGUCCAGACUCCUACGGGAGGCAGCAGUGGGGAAUUUUGGACAAUGGGGGCAACCCUGAUCCAGCCAUGCCGCGUGAGUGAAGAAGGCCUUCGGGUUGUAAAGCUCUUUCGGUCGGGACGAAACGGCGGAUGCUAAUACCAUCCGUUACUGACGGUACCGACAGAAGAAGCACCGGCUAACUACGU